AAUGUCGAAAUAAGUGUAAACGACACACCGUAUCUGUUAUAAAAUAUUUCCGUGUUUGAGCCGUGGAAUUUUCCUCCGCGACCGCCGCACAGAAUACCCUUGUCCGAUUUUUCUGACGAAACACGCCCUUUUAUACUUAAAUUAUUUUUUUUAUAGUUUGAGAAUGAGAGUUGUUCAAGAGUCUAGUGCGACAAAGAUGGAAACAUU